rnacentral:rRNA from 1 species
UUCUUGAAAAUUAAAAAAGUUGGCGGUAUUUUAGUCUAUUCAGAGGAACCUGUUCUAUAAUUGAUAGUCCACGAUUUUUUUUACUUGUUUUUUUAGUUUGCAUAUCGCCGUAGUUGGAAUAUUUUAAAAGAAAAUUAAUAUUCAAAAUUUAUUUAAGUAAAAAAAAUCAGGUCAAGAUGUAGUUUAUAAACAAGAAGAAAUGGGUUACAAUAAAUUUAUUUAAACGGAUUUAAAAAUGAAAUUUUUUAUUAAAGGUGGAUUUGAAGGUAAUUUUAUUAAUUUAAAUAAAAUGAUUUGAGCUCUAAAAUAUGCACAUAUCGCCCGUCGCUUUCAUUACAAAAUGGAAUAAGUCGUAACAAAGUAGGGGUACUGGAAAGUGUUCCUAGAAUAGUCAGAUUAGAGCUUGAUUAAGCAUUUUAGUUACAUUAAAAAGUUUAUUGUAAAUUCAAUAUAAUUUGAAUUAAGAAAAUUAUUUUAAUUUUUAGAAAAUUUUUAAUUAUUUUAAGUAUAUAAUUUUUUUAUUAAUAUUUUUGAACAAAUUAUUAUUAUUAUAGAAAAUUAGUAUUGUGAAAGAAUUUAUAAAAUAUUUAAAAGAAUAAUUAAUUUUUUGUACCUGGUUUUUCAGGGAAANNNNNNNNNNNNNNNNNUCUCGAAUUAAUAAGAGCUAUUUUUUCAUAAAUAUUUAUGUUGCAUAAUGAUUUAAAAUGAAAAUAUUGAAGUGAAAUAUUAUUCGAUUAUUAAUAUAUCUAGUUUUUUAAGAAAUAAAUUUAAUUUAUUUAUUAUUUAAUAUUAAAUUAAAUUUUUAAUUUAAUAUUAUUAAUAUAUUAUAUUUUAAGGGAUAAGCUUUAAAAUAUUUUUUUUAAGAAAAUUAAUUUUGUUGAUUAUGUAGAAUUGAAAGUUUUUAUCUUUAAAAGUGUGUUAUAACUAUUUUUAUAAUUAAUACAAUUUUUAUUUAUUUUAAAAUUUUGUAUUAAAAUUUAAUUUUAAAUUUAAAAAAAUUAGUAAUAAUGAUAAGAUUAGUAUAAAAAAAUUUGUUUAUUUUUUUAUUGAUAAAAGGUUAAAUAAAGGAAUUCGGCAAAUUUAUUUUCCACCUGUUUAUUAAAAACAUGUCUUUUUGUUUAUUAAUUUAAAGUCUGGCCUGCCCUAUGAAUAAUAUUUUAAAUGGCCGCGGUAUUUUGACCGUGCAAAGGUAGCAUAAUCAUUAGUUUUUUAAUUGAAAGCUGGAAUGAAAGGUUAAAUGAGAAAAUUACUGUCUCUAUUUAAAUUUAUUAAAAAUUUAUUUUUAAGUUAAAAAGCUUAGAUUAAAAUUGAAGACGAGAAGACCCUAUAGAGUUUUAUUUAUUUUUAUUAAUAUUUUUUAAGAAUUAAA